rnacentral:misc_RNA from 1 species
GAUGAAGAACGUAGCGAAAUGCGAUAAGUAAUGUGAAUUGCAGAAUUCAGUGAAUCAUCGAAUCUUUGAACGCACAUUGCGCCCUCUGGUAUUUCGGGGGGCAUGCCUGUUCGAGCGUCAUUAUAACCACUCAAGCUCUCGCUUGGUAUUGGAGUUCGCGAUCUCGCGGCUCCUAAAAUCAGUGGCGGUGCCUGUCGGCUCUACGCGUAGUAAUACUCCUCGCGAUUGAGUCCGGUAGGUUUACUUGCCAGCAACCCCCAAUUUUUACAGGUUGACCUCGGAUCAGGUAGGGAUACCCGCUGAACUUAAGCAUAUCAAUAAGCGGAGGA